GCAAGAAUGGUUUGCUUGUUUUGGAGAGCUCUGUCAAUAUGUUAAGCCAGGCCAUGAGCAUGUUUCCGAUUUAUUACUCUGCCAAGCGUUUAAAUAAUGUCUAUAAGACCAUUGUUCCUCACUUCCUGGAAUGUAUUCUCACUGCUGCAACCUUCAAAAACUACGAUCAUGAUAGGAUCUUGGAAUGUGUGAAGGUAAAACAUUAUUUUACUAUUUCCUCGCCUUUAUGAUACAAUGUUGGGUCUUUUUAGCGGAGGAAGGCUGAACGAGACAAUUAUGCUACUCUCAGAAUCGUAUUUUAGUUAUUUCAGAUUAUAGAUCACUAAAUAAUGAGAUCUGUAAAAAUGCUAAGUCUCCUCGUCCAAUAUUAACAGAUAUCGCCAUUCGAUAAACACGUUUGCAUGAUAUCACACAUCGUGAUGAUGCAUACCAUGGUUUUUCUUACCUUGAUUUUAUAGAUGUUUUCAGUUGAGUAACCAAAAGCAGAUGAUUGUGUGUGCCUCUAACUGAUGAAUCUCCGGUAGAAGAAACCAUAACAACCAAAGGCAAGACUAGUACAAAGAAUAUUAAGAUUAAUCAAUUGAUCAGAUAUAAUAUGGUUUAUGGAAAAUUUAAAAAUCAAUAAUUAUAAAACAAGAGAUUGUAAGUAAUUAUAAAAACAACAGAAGGUUUAGUAUUUUAGAAAAUGGAAAUUAUUAUAAAUAGACAAAAAAUCAUAACACCAAUUUUAUUUUUACUAACCAAAAUAAAUUCUUGGAUUUUCUUAUAAAAAGGAUUUUUCUUUUAUUUCAGGAUAUAUUGGUAUGAAGAAAUGUCUAAGAGAAGUGUUUGUGAAUUAUGCUGAAGUUCAUGCCAAAGACAAAACGAACAGCAUAUUACCUCGCAUCAUCAAUAUAGUCGCUAAAGCUGUGAUUCAAAGUUUCAUGAUUGAAGUUCUUAAGAAUAAUGUCGCUGUGCAAUUUGUCAAACUGAACAACUUGCCAUUUUUCACAAAUUUCUUGUUGACUCUCAUCAAUUCUCGGCCUGUUUUCUGCUCAUUAUUCCUCACUUGUCUCAACAGGAAUGUAACUGAACUUUAUGCCCACGUAAGUCAUUUAAAAAUAAGAUGUCAGAUAUCACACAGAUUGAUUCGUAUCAGACACUUUUAUAAAGUCAUUUGUUUAACAUCGCACAAAUAUCUAAUUAAGUUGAUUAAGUGAGUGGUCCUUUAUCAUCAGUCAAAUCAUAAAAUACGCUCUGUAUUCAACCAGUAGUAGAGAUGGCAGAUGACCCUUGAAUUACUCAGUUUUAAAAAGUUAAGUAUUAGUAUCAUAAAGUGAAAGAAAAAUCUACACUCUAAAUUUUUUCCUCAUAAUCUUGAUAACCGCAAGGAAAGUAAGUACAGUAUUGCUGCGUAGGAAAAGUUUUUGGUUGCUCAGUUUUUCAUAUUGGUAAAUAUUACUUGAACAUGCUAAAAACAAGUCCUUAAAAGUCCUUAAAAAAACAAUUUUCACCAUUAUCCUAUUCACUACAAGGCUAGAUUCUGCAAGCGUAUAUCCUGCAACAGAAAUUAGUAUCUCUGAGGAUAAAUCUGAGAAUUUUCAGUUUGAAAGUGGUUAAAACUAGUUCAGAUCCAGCUCUAUAGAUUGAGCCGCAAAUAAGAAUACCUUUGAACGGAGGUUCUUGAGUAAUAGCAGAAAUUCUGGGGGAAGGAUAUGUCUAAAAACUAAUUUUAUAUCACAGCAAGUCUACAAAAAUUGAUGUUCCUCUUUCAGAAUGGUGCCCAAAUCCUCGCAACUAUCAGUUUGCUUUUUACGCUAGCAAUGAACAAAUUCAAAUUCAAGGAGGCUGAAUUCAAGCAACGGUGAAGCUGACGAAUGACGUAAUGAUGAAAUACCGUACAUCUCGGGAUGACUCCAACUUGAACGAUUCAGCUUGUCUUAUCGAUCAAGAACAUAACCUUGAUGAACAGUAAGUUAAUAUGCAACUACUGAUGGUUAAUUUUCAAGGUCACACUUUGAAAGUAUCGGUUCCUUUCUUUAUCAAGAACAACUGCGAUAUUAAUAAAAAAAUAUGCUAGUGCCUCUUUUUGUUGCUUGAAAUGAAAUAUAUAGUUUUUUUUUUCUUUCUACUUUCUGCUUUCUUACUUUUCAUUUCAAGCACCUUUGUUAGAUUUCUUCCAAAGUUAAGAAAAACGGUAAGUGUCUGCACCCGAUAGCUGUCCCAAUUUUGGAACACAUCAGGUCAAGACGGUUGGCAUCUCAAGUCUCAACUGAGAUUCAAUGUUAUGUUUGUCGAGGUAUUUUUGCCAUUAUCAAGUUCUUUCAAUUUUUGGUAAUUAUUAAUCUCAAAUGCAUAUUCUAUACAAUAGCUCUCCUUUGAAUGAAAAUUCCAGAGCUAGAACAGAUUUAAGUGUUGGCUCCACAACAAAAUACGCAUUUUAUUCUGGUAUAAAUAUGUAUAAUUUUUUGCUUGGUCGUCAACUUUUUAGGGGGAGUUCUUUAGGAUUGGGCCGGAGUGGCUACCGCCACCUAGAAUACUUUUUUAUUGCUACGUUUCUUCCCGCGUCAUUCUGUGCCCUUUUUCCUAGUGAUGAUUUACAUCAUUCUUGAUAAAUAAUUUUUUAACUUUUCUUGCCUGCAGGGAUGUCCAGAAUCAAGGAGCUCAGCUGAUGCAAAAGAUCUCUGAAAAAAUUGAACUCUUCACGUGAAGAAAAUUCUUAGAAAGAGAAAAUUUUCUUCGCAAUCAUCCUGAUCUCAUUCAGCCUUGUGGUUGAUCCUCAGCCAAAGUACUUCAGCUAAUCCUCUCAUAACGUAACAAUCGUAAUUCUGGUGAUAUUUUACGUCAAAGAUAUCUUAAUUCAUUUUUGCCGUCUUACUGAUAGACUUUCAAGAUUUUUACCUUUUGUUUGUUUAUCUUAGAAAUUCUUCAAGAACAGAGAAUUCUUAAAGAAUGGAACACCUAUUUUCAAAGUAAAUUUUUAUUAUUUUAAUUUUUUCAUGUCACCAUAAAUGAAUGAACAAGGUACUAUCAUUUUAGCUAGCUUUAAAUCGAGAUUACUGGAAUCCCUGAAUCGUUUCUCUCAUUCAUGUCGAACAUGAUGGGAGUAAAGAUUUAAAUUAUAAUGAAUUGCACCAAAGAAUUUCCGGGUUCUCUAAGGUAUUGACAGCAGUUUGUGCGGCAUUAAAAAGUGCUUGAUUUUGACAUUUUUUCAAGGCCUCGAAAGAGCUUAAUUUUUGGAAGGUCCUUGGAAAAUGCCGGAAUUAUGUUUUACUAAUUAUCCACAGUGAAUGCUUAUCGUUAAGGAAUAACAAAUCAUUUGAUGUCAAGGAGAUCGUUCGGGGAGACAUUUUAUUCAUGUAGGAAGCGCAAUCUGCUUACAUUAAGAACUUAAAAUACCAACUCAAACUCACAAUACAGGGGAAAUAACGUGUUUUUAGAGAGAAAGAGAAAGAAAGAAAGAGAAAAAUGUGCUUAAUCUUUUAUUCUUGUGCAUGGAUGAGCCAUGUCUACAAGACAUCUUCCUCUACAAAACAUAUUUAAUAAGAUAUCCAAGAUUAUCUAAAACGGGACAGAAAGUAAAGUUCAAAGUAUACAUAAUUCUUAUCCUUAAAAUUAUUCAUUAAAAUUCGUGACUGAAAAUUGACUUUUCAAAAGAAACUUGUACAAGAGAUUUUGUUUUUUUUUUCUUUUGAGAAUGGUUCAAAUAAAAAUGGUAUUUUUCUGUUAUCAAAGUUGUAAGCUCAGUACUCUAGGGCUACAAAAGUAGUUUUGUAUUCUAAGUUCAAAAAUGCAGGUCUUCAAAGUUAUUUUUUAAACUAUGAACCUUUUCAAUACAGAUCAUUUUAGAAAAAGUGCUUGUAACUUGAUCACACUCUUCGAAGUAAAAAUCUGUACAGUUCUUGUUAAGUAGACUUUAAGCCUGAUAUAAGUUCAUUUGUAAUAUUUUUAUAACUGUACAGGUGAUUUCUCUUCUCCGUCUUUCAAAUUGUUUUCGUCUUAAUACACUUUUAUUUUUUCAACUGUGUAAACUCUUAAGAAGAAUAUAUAUUUUUGUAAAUAAACUGCCUGUAGCAUUUACGUAAUACUCAAAUGAUUUUGGGUCUCUGUAUUUUUUUAGUCUCACUGUCUCAUUGCGAAGUCAAUGGACUGAUAAUCAACUGACAAGAGGGUUGAAU
rnacentral:lncRNA from 1 species